rnacentral:rRNA from 1 species
UCCUGGCUCAGGAUGAACGCUGGCGGCGUGCUUAACACAUGCAAGUCGAACGAAGAUGCCGGAGUGCUUGCACUUUGGCAGACUGAGUGGCGGACGGGUGAGUAACGCGUGGGUAACCUGCCUUAUACAGGGGGAUAACAGUUGGAAACGACUGCUAAUACCGCAUAAGCGCACGGUAUCGCAUGAUACAGUGUGAAAAACUCCGGUGGUAUAAGAUGGACCCGCGUCUGAUUAGCUUGUUGGUGAGGUAACGGCCCACCAAGGCGACGAUCAGUAGCCGGCCUGAGAGGGUGAACGGCCACAUUGGGACUGAGACACGGCCCAAACUCCUACGGGAGGCAGCAGUGGGGAAUAUUGCACAAUGGGGGAAACCCUGAUGCAGCGACGCCGCGUGAGUGAUGAAGUAUUUCGGUAUGUAAAACUCUAUCAGCAGGGAAGAUAAUGACGGUACCUGACUAAGAAGCACCGGCUAAAUACGUGCCAGCAGCCGCGGUAAUACGUAUGGUGCAAGCGUUAUCCGGAUUUACUGGGUGUAAAGGGUGCGUAGGUGGUAUGGCAAGUCAGAAGUGAAAGGCUGGGGCUCAACCCCGGGACUGCUUUUGAAACUGUCAAACUAGAGUACAGGAGAGGAAAGCGGAAUUCCUAGUGUAGCGGUGAAAUGCGUAGAUAUUAGGAGGAACACCAGUGGCGAAGGCGGCUUUCUGGACUGAAACUGACGCUGAGGCGCGAAAGCGUGGGGAGCAAACAGGAUUAGAUACCCUGGUAGUCCACGCGGUAAACGAUGAAUGCUAAGGUGUAGGAGGUAUCGACCCCUUCUGUGCAGCAGUAAACACAAUAAGCAUUCCGCCUGGGGAGUACGGCCGCAAAGGUUGAAACUCAAAGGAAUUGACGGGGGCCCGCACAAGCAGUGGAGUAUGUGGUUUAAUUCGACGCAACGCGAAGAACCUUACCAAGUCUUGACAUCCUGCGACGCACAUAGAAAUAUGUGUUUCCUUCGGGACGCAGAGACAGGUGGUGCAUGGUUGUCGUCAGCUCGUGUCGUGAGAUGUUGGGUUAAGUCCCGCAACGAGCGCAACCCUUAUGGUCAGUUACUACGCAAGAGGACUCUGGCCAGACUGCCGUUGACAAAACGGAGGAAGGUGGGGAUGACGUCAAAUCAUCAUGCCCUUUAUGACUUGGGCUACACACGUACUACAAUGGCGUUAAACAAAGAGAAGCAAGACCGCGAGGUGGAGCAAAACUCAGAAACAACGUCCCAGUUCGGACAGCAGGCUGCAACUCGCCUGCACGAAGUCGGAAUUGCUAGUAAUCGCAGAUCAGCAUGCUGCGGU